AUGGUUGGGUUCUACCAGCAAUUCUUUGAGGGCUACUCGAAGAUCAGCAAGCCCCUCUUUGCACUUACCCCUGGAGUCAAGAGGCCACGUUACAGUAAGGGGAAGAGGAAGACGCCUGUAACAAGGAAACUUACCUCUGCUGACUGGACAGCGGAAUGCGGAGAGGCUUUCAAGAGGCUAAAACUAGCUUUGCUAGAUAAUGCUGCUCUGGCUCACCCAGACUUCAGCAGGCCCUUUUUGCUCUCGGUGGACGCCUCCUCCAAUGGUCUGGGUGCUGUGUUAUCUCAACUGACUGAGGGGGAUAAUGUAGCACGUCCGAUUGCAUUCGCCAGCAAAUCUCUCAACUAUGCCCAGUCUCGCUACCCAGCACAUAGGUUGGAGUUUCUGGCGCUCAAAUGGGCUGUCUGUGACAAAUUCAGCCACUGGCUGAGAGGCCACACGUUUACGGCAUGGACGGACAAUAAUCCGUUGAGCUACAUUCUGAGUAAGUCCAGACUCGAUGCUUGUGAACAGAGAUGGGUGGCUAAGCUCGCCCCGUUCGACUUUGAAAUAAGAUACAUCCCCGGUCCUAGGAAUGUUGUGGCGGACGCCCUCAGCCGGGAGCCUUUUGUGCAGCCCAGUAUGCUUCAUCGUCUCACCAGGGUCCCGUAUGAUGCACUCAUGGAGGAGGCGAACGCCUUGAACCUUGACAGUGUACAGGAUGCGUUCCGUCAAUCCUGCAAUCCGCGAGUCAUGCCAUCUCUCAGCAGUGCUGUGGCAGUGUCCUUGAGCCCUUCCGUUUCCAAUCAGGCCGUCUCUGCUGUCUUAGAGCGGUCAUUGGGCCAAGAGCAUGUGCCUCCCCAAGCCUUUCUCCUUCCUCAGCUUGUGCAAUCCAUCCAACCACGUGAGCAUUCCGACAUCCGUCCCUUGCCUAAAGAGACGUUGAUGGCUUCACAACGUGCAGACCCUUGCUUGAGUCGGGUGCUUCACUUUGUGGAGAGGCAGAGACGUCCAUCAAGGCGUGAGCGUGGGCAUGAGCCAGCUGACACUUUGAGGCUCCUCAGGCAUUGGGAGAAACUUUCCAUCAAACAAGGCGUCCUCUAUCGUGAAGGAUGUUGUCACACAGCGGAAGACGUACCAGUAUGUUGUAACCUUGGUACUGAGGGAAGAGGUCCUCAGAGGUGUGCAUGA
rnacentral:lncRNA from 1 species